AACGUAGGGGGCGAGCGUUGCCCGGAUUCACUGGGCGUAAAGCGGGUGUAGGCGGUCUUCUAAGUCAGAUGUGAAAUCCUACGGCUCAACCGUGGAACUGCAUCUGAUACUGGUCGACUUGAGGACGGUAGAGGUCGGUGGAAUUCCGAGUGUACCGGUGAAAUGGGCAGAUAUUCGGAGGAACACCAGUGGCGAAGGCGGCCGACUGGGCCGAUCCUGACGCUGAGACGCGAAAGCCAGGGGAGCGAACCGG
rnacentral:rRNA from 1 species